CCCCUGGGCCCUUGCUUCAAGAGUUGGCAGUGAUCGGGCAUAUUUAGGGACAAUACUUGUGAUUUCCGGGGCUCAGCACCUGCUCUUGGAUCUUCUCAAGGCCUGCUAGAUUUCAGAAUCUCAAAGGUUUGGCCACUGCACUCCCAACCCCUAAGGAAAGGAUGGGAGAUGAAUUAUUAAAGGACACCGGGGCCAUUAGCAUAUCGGGCCUCACCUCUCUGGGGCCCUUGCCCUUGAGCAACUGAAUGUUUUAUUGAAGAGGAAAAAACAUGCACGAAAAAGGCCGGGAAGACUGUCCUUCUGCCAGUGGACAGAUCCCUGUUGAGACCCAUCGGCUCACCGGACACCCCAUUAUUACUGCCGCCUGAUCCCCCAUCAUUGUUCCCUUUCUACCUCGUGACACGUCCCAACACUU
rnacentral:lncRNA from 1 species